GAUCGCAAUUGUGAUUAUUUUCGUUUAGAUACUCGUUAAAGUCUUGAAAAUUUAGCUUUGAAAGCCAAAACCUAUAACCACCGGUCCAUUUCCGGAAGAAAGGCGCAUAACGGAAAAUUAUAAAAAAUUCCUCCCACAACACUGAAAGAAGUGUAAGUUUUAUCAAUGGUCGUUAUUCAUUCUAGGGUGUAUGAACGUUGAUAUGAGUGCCCCAGUUCCGAUGUAUAUGUCAUCAUCCGUGCCCAGAAAGUAGGAAUGAAAACUUCAAAUGCGUUUUUCUCACAACUCGUUUUUUCGCCAUUGAUAUAUAAUUACUGAACGGGCAAAACACAUCUGGAGAAUGCUCACACAUGAAGGUGGUGACAAAAACUACGUCUGAGAAAAGUAGAAGUAGUGCCAGGUGGACCUGCAAGGCGCCGUUCAGGGGCCUAAGCACUAGUAUUUCAACUGAUGUGUACCUCUACGUUGGACCGUGCUCCUGAACCAGAUCUCAUGAUACAAAUCACAUUUUCCGAAAAGCUUAGCAGCCAUUUGAUAAGCCAAAGCUGACUCAAGCUUGCACUAUCCAUGGGCUCACUUUUCUCCUUGUCAUCAGAAGUUAUCAAGGGUUCGUCAACUUCCAUCCUUGAAGAAUUUUGGAUGCCAGGCUCCACAUUAGUGACAUCUAUCACUUUGAUGA